UCCAGCAUUUAUUCGUGGUGUUCGCAUCUGUGUUUUUUUGACCACUUUUCAGGGUUUUUGACCUCGCCUCUUACCUUCUGAUUUGGAUUUGGAUUGAUUUUUGCAUCUGGGUCUUCUUUUGGUAUAUAUUGGUCAAUAUUUGCGAUGGCAGUGCACACAUGCUCCUCCACCUGCUGGCAUGAAUUAACUGUUAAAGUUUGUGAGAUCUAAAGAGACAAAAAAUACAACCAAAAUUAUUUUUUUUUAUUAAAAAAAAAAUCUUUGACAAACAGUCUCAUUAUACAACAGAAUCCUUUAUGCUCUUGGAUAAAAUGUAAGACCUUAAACCUCUGUGCAAGAUCAGUGUAAGCACUCGCUGCUGCAGUCGCUUUUGAGCUGAGGCUGCAGAAGAACAGGGCAGGACAGGAGAAAACACCUCACUGGCUCUGGACAUCUGUUUUACUUUGACUAAUAAUUUACAAUGUACAUGUGAUUGGGUUUAAAAUACAAGUAGCUCUCUCUUCUUAAAAACUUUGUCCUGACUUGUGACGUUUGGAGCCAAUCUUGUCAAAAGUCUUUGUGUUGGAUUAGAGAACGUUGUGCGCUGUCAGAAGCGUGAUCUUAAUUGUGGAUUAUGUAGCCUUGGAGUUAAAAGAAGCAGCAGUGUGAUUGUGCCUCUAAGCUUUCAUAUAAUGGAACACAAAGUGUCAAGCCUGGAGGGAGCUGCAGGGAAGCCUCACAGCAUCGCUUGACACUGGUUAGAAUUAUAUCACAAGGGUCAGAAAAAAGCAAAAUAAAACAUCACACGGCUUGUUUGUGAAGGCCACGUUUUGGUCAGGAUUUGAGUAAGGCGUGUUUCUUUUACAGACUCAUUUGGAGUGGAUGCAAUUUUCCUUAAAUUUUUUUAGCUUUAAUCAAGUUCUUUCAGCUGACAAAACUUUGACAGAGGAAACUGACCUGUGCAUGUUUUACUAAUUGUAAGGCACAGCCUCUGAGUUUUAAUCCAAUAAAAACCUUCUAUCUGCUUUAUUUCAACCUCCUCAAAGGAAAAAGAAGUCGAUCUUGACAUUACACAUAAAAAAAAAUGUGCUUCUCGGGAAGAAUAUGCACCUGUUAAUCUGUGAGUUAAAAAACUGCACUAUUGAAAAAAAAAAUACAGCGUCUAAAGUAGUGACAAAACACAGAGUCUGUCUGGUUUCACUGACAUGAGGAAUUACUUCACACAGCCAGGCUCGGGGAUCAGGGCGGAUAGUCGUUGGCACAGCUAAAACUUUGUAUGAAGCAGCACUGACUUUGGUCUUUUCCAGUCACUGACAGCCAAAGACAACUUCAUGAUGUUGACUGGGACCCAGGCCAACAUGUGACUGCCCUGCCUGAGCUAGCAAGAGAUGGUCUGUGCUCCUCUUGGCUGACACCACCUUUUUACUGUUUUGAUUUUUUAUUUGUGUACACUCUGUACAUUUUUUAUUUAUUUUUGUAUUUUAACAGCUGAAAUACAAAUUAAGUGCAACAUUUACAAUCGUUAUGGAAAACUUAAUGUCAGCCCCUUACAGCUGUGUG